GGUGGUGUUAUAGUAUACUGUAAUUGUUUUGUGCAUAUUUAUAUAUGUAUCUGUCUGCCUUAUUACACUUUGAGAUCAGUUGAAGAAAGUAACUGGGUUUAAUUCCUGUCACCUGCUUGAGGCCAGGUAUCAUGUCUAUUUUCUUUCCCCUGGUAUAUCUAGCACUGUAAAUGGGGCUUGGCACUAUCAACUGAUCAUACAUAUUUGAAUGUUGAGUGAAAUAUUUAUAUCCCUUUGCGCAUAGGUGUUUAGUAAUUAUUUUGUUGUUGUAACAUGUUGGUCAGGCUGGUCUUGUCCUCCUGACCUCAAGUGAUCUGCCCACCUUGGCCUCCCAAAGUGGUAGGAUUACAGGUGUGAGCCACUGUGCCCGGCCUAAUUUUUAUUGAACAAAUGAAUUAUCCAGGCUUCUGGCAGUUCUUUGGUACUUAUUUUAUAAACAUUAUGUAAAGGACUCAUAGGCUUAAAUAAAUCUUGUUUAGACUUUUUAACAGAAAAGAGUCUAGAUGUAAAGUUUUUAAUAAUGGUUAUUUCUGCAUGGUGGAAUUAUGGGGUAUCUCUGUUUUCAUUUACACACUUAAAUGUAUUCUAGGCUUUCUACACUAAACAUACAUUACUUUUCAAAUUCAAAUUUUAUAUAUCUGGAAUAGUUACAAAUUUCUAAUUGAUAUUAAUAUGAGAGUCAGUGUCAAAACUUGUGAUUUCUUUUAUGUUGAUUUA
rnacentral:lncRNA from 1 species